rnacentral:rRNA from 1 species
GGGCGCCUACGGGGGGCAGCAGUGAGGAAUAUUGGUCAAUGGUCGGGAGACUGAACCAGCCACGCCGCGUGAGGGAGGAAGGUACAGAGUAUCGUAAACCUCUUUUGUCAGGGGACAAAGACUGGGACGCGUCCCCGGAUGAGUGUACCUGAAGAAAAAGCAUCGGCUAACUCCGUGCCAGCAGCCGCGGUAAUACGGAGGAUGCGAGCGUUAUCCGGAUUUAUUGGGUUUAAAGGGUGCGCAGGCGGUCUGUUAAGUCAGCGGUCAAAGCCCGGGGCUCAACCCCGGCCCGCCGUUGAAACUGG